AUUGAACGCUGGCGGCAGGCUUAACACAUGCAAGUCGAACGGUAACAUAAAGAAGCUUGCUUCUUUGAUGACGAGUGGCGGACGGGUGAGUAAUGCUUGGGAAUCUAGCUUAUGGAGGGGGAUAACUACGGGAAACUGUAGCUAAUACCGCGUAAUAUCGAAAGAUUAAAGUGUGGGACCUUCGGGCCACAUGCCAUAGGAUGAGCCCAAGUGGGAUUAGGUAGUUGGUGAGGUAAAGGCUCACCAAGCCGACGAUCUCUAGCUGGUCUGAGAGGAUGACCAGCCACACUGGGACUGAGACACGGCCCAGACUCCUACGGGAGGCAGCAGUGGGGAAUAUUGCGCAAUGGGGGCAACCCUGACGCAGCCAUGCCGCGUGAAUGAAGAAGGCCUUCGGGUUGUAAAGUUCUUUCGGUAGUGAGGAAGGCAUUUAGUUUAAUAGACUAGGUGAUUGACGUUAACUACAGAAGAAGCACCGGCUAACUCCGUGCCAGCAGCCGCGGUAAUACGGAGGGUGCGAGCGUUAAUCGGAAUAACUGGGCGUAAAGGGCACGCAGGCGGUGACUUAAGUGAGGUGUGAAAGCCCCGGGCUUAACCUGGGAAUUGCAUUUCAUACUGGGUCGCUAGAGUACUUUAGGGAGGGGUAGAAUUCCACGUGUAGCGGUGAAAUGCGUAGAGAUGUGGAGGAAUACCGAAGGCGAAGGCAGCCCCUUGGGAAUGUACUGACGCUCAUGUGCGAAAGCGUGGGGAGCAAACAGG
rnacentral:rRNA from 1 species